rnacentral:tRNA from 1 species
GAGGAUAUAGCUCAACAUCACAGUAUCUACCUAGUAAGUGCAAGGUCCUGAGUUCGAAUCUUAGUACACUCU